rnacentral:rRNA from 1 species
UUGUUACGAGANCGAUAGCGAACAAGUACCGUGAGGNAAAGUUGAAAAGAACUUUGAAGAGAGAGUUCAAGAGUACGUGAAACCGUUCAGGGGUAAACCUGUGAAACCCAAAAGAUCGAAUGAGGAGAUUCAUCGUCAGCGUAAUCAGUAUUAAUGCAGGCUAUGAUGUGAUAAUAGAAUCCUCGUGGUCACUAGAUUAUACUUGCUUGUGUUAUUUUUGCUGGGUGUGUCGGCGUGCACUUCUCCUCUAGUAGAACGUCGCAACCCGUUGGAUGUUUAUCUAUGGCCUGAUUGGUAGCCUUUGAUAUAAUUUUAUAUUGNAGACCUUUUGGAGUCCUGAUAAACUGUCUGACGGNAUACAUUA